rnacentral:misc_RNA from 1 species
GCAAAUCAACCAGUUGGAAUACUAAACCAGCAGCAAGAACAGCAAAUACCAGUCACAACAUUGAUACCACAAAUGCAUAAUGUUCAUCAGCUAGCAAUAGGACGACUACAAAUACAGACCAACAAAGGACCAAUAAAAUCAAAGACAUGGUGAACAAGGACAUGUAACAAUUUGAAGUUCAAGAGAAAUAACAACAAAAAUAACAAAUAGAAAGUGAAAACAUUAAAAAUAAAAUUAGAACAUUCAAAAUGUUCAUGUUCUUCAUCA